GAAUCAACGCUGGCGGCGUGCCUAACACAUGCAAGUCGAACGCGAAAGCCCCGCAAGGGGCAAGUAGAGUGGCAAACGGGUGAGUAACGCGUGGGUGACCUGCCUUCGAGUGGGGGAUAACGUUCCGAAAGGGACGCUAAUACCGCAUGACAUCCUGCCUUUGAAGAGGCGGAGAUCAAAGCCUGGGACCGCAAGGCCAGGCGCUUGAAGAGGGGCCCGCGUCCGAUUAGCUAGUUGGGAGGUAACGGCUCACCAAGGCGACGAUCGGUAGCCGGCCUAAGAGGGCGGACGGCCACACUGGGACUGAGACACGGCCCAGACUCCUACGGGAGGCAGCAGUGGGGAAUUGUUCGCAAUGGGCGCAAGCCUGACGACGCAACGCCGCGUGGAGGACGAAGAUCUUCGGGUCGUAAACUCCCGUCGAGCGGGACGAAUGGCCCGCGAUGAAUAAUCCGCGGGAGUGACGGUACCGCGAGAGGAAGCCCCGGCUAACUCCGUGCCAG
rnacentral:rRNA from 1 species